GAUGAACGCUAGCUACAGGCUUAACACAUGCAAGUCGAGGGGAAACGGCAUUAAGUGCUUGCACUUUUUGGACGUCGACCGGCGCACGGGUGAGUAACGCGUAUCCAACCUUCCCAUGACUAAGGGAUAACCUGCCGAAAGGCAGACUAAUACCUUAUGGUCUUCACUGACGGCAUCAGAUGUGAAGUAAAGAUUUAUCGGUUAUGGAUGGGGAUGCGUCUGAUUAGUUAGUUGGCGGGGUAACGGCCCACCAAGGCAACGAUCAGUAGGGGUUCUGAGAGGAAGGUCCCCCACAUUGGAACUGAGACACGGUCCAAACUCCUACGGGAGGCAGCAGUGAGGGAUAUUGGUCAAUGGGCGAGAGCCUGAACCAGCCAAGUAGCGUGCAGGAUGACGGCCCUAUGGGUUGUAAACUGCUUUUGUAUGGGGAUAAAGUCAAUCACGUGUGAUUGUUUGCAGGUACCAUACGAAUAAGGACCGGCUAAUUCCGUGCCAGCAGCCGCGGUAAUACGGAAGGUCCGGGCGUUAUCCGGAUUUAUUGGGUUUAAAGGGAGCGUAGGCUGGAGAUUAAGUGUGUUGUGAAAUGUAGACGCUCAACGUCUGACUUGCAGCGCAUACUGGUUUCCUUGAGUACGCACAACGUUGGCGGAAUUCGUCGUGUAGCGGUGAAAUGCUUAGAUAUGACGAAGAACUCCGAUUGCGAAGGCAGCUGACGGGAGCGCAACUGACGCUGAAGCUCGAAGGUGCGGGUAUCGAACAGG
rnacentral:rRNA from 1 species